UCAAUAAAAAGUGAGCACUGCCUG
rnacentral:piRNA from 1 species